UGCAUGGCUGUCGUCAGCUCGUGUCGUGAGAUGUUGGGUUAAGUCCGUAACGAGCGCAACCCUUGUCCUUAGUUACCAGCACGUUAUGGUGGGCACUCUAAGAGGACUGCCGGUGGACAAACCGGAGGAAGGUGGGGAGUGACGUCAAGUCAUCAUGGCCCUUACGGCCUGGGCUACACACGUGCCUACAAUGGUCGGUACAAAGGGUUGCCAAGCCGCGAGGUGGAGCUAAUCCCAUAAAACCGAUCGUAGUCCGGAUCGCAGUCUGCAACUCGACUGCGUGAAGUCGGAAUCGCUAGUAAUCGUGAAUCAGAAUGUCACGGUGAAUACGUUCCCGGGCCUU
rnacentral:rRNA from 1 species